GACGAACGCUGGCGGCGUGCUUAACACAUGCAAGUCGAGCGGUAAGGCCCUUCGGGUGCACGAGCGGCGAACGGGUGAGUAACACGUGGGUGACCUGCCUCUAGCUCUGGGAUAAGCCUGGGAAACUGGGUCUAAUACCGGAUAUGACUCCACGGCGCAUGUUGUGGGGUGGAAAGCCUUGUGUGGCUAGAGAUGGGCCCGCGGCCUAUCAGCUUGUUGGUGGGGGAUGGCCUACCAAGGCGACGACGGGUAGCCGGCCUGAGAGGGCGACCGGCCACACUGGGACUGAGACACGGCCCAGACUCCUACGGGAGGCAGCAGUGGGGAAUCUUGCGCAAUGGGCGAAAGCCUGACGCAGCGACGCCGCGUGAGGGAUGACGGCCU
rnacentral:rRNA from 1 species